CAGAGUUUUCUAAACUCCCAACCCUAUGUGAACUUACCUUUGUUGCCUCGGCGGAGCCUACCCGGUACCUCUCCCUUUUGGGCGAGAAUACCCUGUAGUCCGCCGGUGGAUUUUCAAACUCUUGUUAUUUUAACGAUAUCUGAGCGUCUUAUUUUAAUAAGUCA
rnacentral:misc_RNA from 1 species